AACGCUAGCUACAGGCUUAACACAUGCAAGUCGAGGGGCAGCAUGGUCUUAGCUUGCUAAGGCCGAUGGCGACCGGCGCACGGGUGAGUAACACGUAUCCAACCUGCCGUCUACUCUUGGACAGCCUUCUGAAAGGAAGAUUAAUACAAGAUGGCAUCAUGAGUCCGCAUGUUCACAUGAUUAAAGGUAUUCCGGUAGACGAUGGGGAUGCGUUCCAUUAGAUAGUAGGCGGGGUAACGGCCCAUCUAGUCUUCGAUGGAUAGGGGUUCUGAGAGGAAGGUCCCCCACAUUGGAACUGAGACACGGUCCAAACUCCUACGGGAGGCAGCAGUGAGGAAUAUUGGUCAAUGGGCGAGAGCCUGAACCAGCCAAGUAGCGUGAAGGAUGACUGCCCUAUGGGUUGUAAACUUCUUUUAUAAAGGAAUAAAGUCGGGUAUGGAUACCCGUUUGCAUGUACUUUAUGAAUAAGGAUCGGCUAACUCCGUGCCAGCAGCCGCGGUAAUACGGAGGAUCCGAGCGUUAUCCGGAUUUAUUGGGUUUAAAGGGAGCGUAGAUGGAUGUUUAAGUCAGUUGUGAAAGUUUGCGGCUUAACCGUAAAAUUGCAGUUGAUACUGGAUAUCUUGAGUGCAGUUGAGGCAGGCGGAAUUCGUGGUGUAGCGGUGAAAUGCUUAGAUAUCACGAAGAACUCCGAUUG
rnacentral:rRNA from 1 species